GUAACACGUAUGUAACCUACCCUUAUCAGGGGGAUAGCCUCUCGAAAGAGAGAUUAAGCCCGCAUAACAUCACGGAAUAGCAUUGUAACUGUGAUCAAAUAUUUAUCAAGGACAAGGAUGGGCAUGCGGAACAUUAGCUAGUUGGUAAGGUAACGGCUUACCAAGGCUACGAUGUUUAGGGGAUCUGAGAGGAUGACCCCCAACUGGUACUGAGACACGGACCAAAGAACUCCCCUUAACCGGGAGGCAGCAGUAAGGCAAUCAUUGGUCAAUGGGCGGAAGCCUGAACCAGCCAUGCCGCGUGCAGGAAGACGGCCCUACGGGUUGUAAACUGCUUUUGCAAGGGGAAUAAACCUCAUUCACGUGUCAAUGAGUUGAAUGUACUCUGAGAAUCACGGAUCGGUAACUUCCGUGCCAGGCAGCCGCGGUAAUACGGAGGAUCCGAGCGUUAUCCGGGAUUCAUCGGGUUUACACGGGUAGCGUAGGCGGCUUAUCUAAGUCCAAGGGGUGAAAGACGGUAGCU
rnacentral:rRNA from 1 species